rnacentral:lncRNA from 1 species
AUUCGUGUUGCACCGAGGAAGGAUUGUGCACACGUUUAAAUCCUACUAACACAAGAAACAAGAAGGUGUUAGAUAUUGUAAAAGGAGAAUAAAAAGCAAACAAAUGAAAACCUACAGCUAAGAAUCAAUAAAAAUUGCUGAAAACAGAAAACCCGAAAAACUGCGGAGUAACUUGACAACUUCGUUCGAGGUGUUCCCGAUCUCCAAAAAUCACGAAAUUAAAUCUGGAGUGUCCUUAUAUAUUGAAUUUUCGAUCUGGAAAUUUUGGGCACCAAAUUCAACCCGCUGAAUCUUUUUUUAAAUUUUUAUUGAAUUUCGUAUUUUUUGAUUUUUUUAACUUUUUUGACUGAUUUUUUUGCGGGAAUAAUUUUUUUAUAUUCAAUCACAGUGCCAAAAACAUGUAUGUAAAAUUUCAGAUCAAUAGGACAACGUUUACCCACUCAAAUGAAUUUUUUUUUGAACAAUUUUUUCUGGGUAAAACUGCUGUUUAUGCUUUAAAAAAUAAAGAUCAGUUUAGAAAUCAACCAAGAACACCCAAAACGCCCAAAAUCUGAUACCAA